rnacentral:tRNA from 1 species
GCGGAAGUGGCGGAACUGGCAGACGCGCUGGGUUCAGGGUCCAGUGAGGGCAACCUCUUGGGGGUUCAAAUCCCCCCUUCCGCACCA